rnacentral:lncRNA from 1 species
CCACUCGCAGGCUGUUCGCUGGCCUGUAAGAACCCUUGUUUGCAGGCUAAAAGCGGACUCCAAGUCAUCCUACAGGCCUCUGUCCAGACUUCUCUGCGUCCAGGGAACCCUCCCUGGCUCCCCCAAGGCUGUCCAGGCUGUCCCUAACACCAAGCACGCAUGCGCGCUUCUCUAGCACUGUGAAUUAAGCCGCAGGGCCUUUGUCCACUGUUUUUAAUCUUUGGAUUGAAAUCCCUGCAUCCUAGGCUUCUAGAAGUGCUGUCCGUGCAAGAACCUCGCCUGUCUUGCUCCCAUUGCACACCUAGAACCUGGAACGGAAAGUGCCGGGUAAAUAUUUGCUGACAACUGUUGACUCUAGACUUAGGGGCACCCGGGUCUCAGCGGUGGCCCCCACCUUGAGAAAGGACCGGGGCUAGGAGCUCCAGGGCGAGCGAGAGUGACUAGAAAGCGAAAGUAACGCGGAGCGGGGCGGAAAGCACCCCGGGCGAGGUCUGCGGAGGAGGCCGGGCCAAGAGUUCAUUCAGCGGGUCCCGCGGCUCGGCUCGGCGGUCUGUGGCGCGCUGGGAAGGCGGGGGCGUUGUGGGCGGGGACCGAGCCCCGCGGAAAGGAGAGAAAAUGUGUUUUGUAAUUAGUCAUUGCCUCCCGGGGUGAGGCUGGGAGUUUUCUCCGGAGGUGGGUUGAACAGAUUUGCAAAAUGACAAACAGGGGCUAACCGCGGGCUGGGGCCACAGCGGGGCUUCCGGCCCUGGUGGCAGAAGUCGAGCUUUCUAGUUUUUUCUGUCCCCCCCCCCCCCAUUCAAGGUUCUGCCAAAUAGUGGAAACUGGGAGGAGAAAACCCAACUGGCUGUCCUGACUCCUGCUCCCGCCCUCUGCCUCUCCGCGUGGUCUCUAGAGGACCAGGAAUGGGGACAAGGUGAUGCUGGUCACCUGGACCUGGAAAGCUCAAUCCAAAGAUUUUGACAGAUUUACACGGAGAGGUUGUGGAAGCAUGAAGAUGUUCUGGAGAUGAGGGAUCUGGGUCAAAGCUGCCAUGUCUCUCUUCCUGCUAAAGGGACGGACCCGCGGAUGCUGGAACUCCUAGAAGUUAGAUAGACAGUGUCCCUCCGCUCCCCAACACACACACACACAGGGCACACUUCUGUCUCCACUCCUGUUUCCAGAGCAGUGACUUUCACUUAUGUAUGUAUGUAUUUUGUGGUACAAGGUAUGGAACCCAGGAGCCAUCCAUCACCAAGCUACAUCCCCAGCCCUGUUCAUUUUUUGAGACAGGGUCUUACUAAAUUGCUCAGACUGUCUCAAACGUGCGAUCCUCCUGCCUCAGCUCCCUGAGCAGCUAGGAUUAUAGGCCUGGGCCGCUGUGCCAGCUCCGUUUUAAAAUCACAAGUCACACUAAGAAAUGGCAUUUCAUGUCUCAACCCAUUACUUAUCUGAGAGUCUGCCCAUGCAGAUACACAGAAGCAAAAACUCUCCAAAGCCCUACAUUCCUACAUUAUGUGUUUGCGUUUUAUGCUACUUUUUGUUUUGUUAUCAGGAAUUGAACCUAGGGAAGCUUUUCCUCUGAGCCACAUGCCCAGCCCUUUUUUAUCUGUUACCUGAGACAGGGUCUCACUAAGUUGCUUAAGAUGCUUAGGGCUUUGCUAUAUUGCUGAGGCUGGCCUGGAACUUGCAAUCCUCCUGCCUGACCUCCCAAGUUGUUGGGAUUCAGGUAUGUGCCACCAUGCAUGGCUUUUUUUUUUUUUCCUUUAAACUUUUUGGUGCUGGGGAUUGAACCCAAAAGCCUUCCACAUGGCAAGCACAUGAUCUACCACUGAAGACUAUACCCCCAGCUCUAUGAAGCCAGAUUUAAAAUUAGGUAGUCAGUGUAGUUAGGUAAAUCGGGUCUAAUAUCCAGUGAAAUCUAAAAUGGAGGCCAUGUUGAGAAUGAAUUCCUGGAAAAAGUUGAGCAACUCUCGGAAUGUUAAUGAAGUCCAGGAAACAGCCCCCAACAGAUUUGAAGAUAGCCCAUCCCAAAGAAAUGUUAAUGAACAGCAAACUUGAAGAUGCUGACUCGGAAGUGCCCAGAUUACUUCUUUGGCCCACCUGUGUCCCAACCCUUGGGCCUUCCCACCUACAUUCCAUCACCAAAAACUAUAAAAAGGGGAACACAUUUGCCCUUCAAUGGAUUCCAUCUCUUGGGUUCCCUUCUUCCUCCAGGAGAAGUCUUUUCUGCUGUCCUUUAAUAAACUUCUAAUUUUCCACUCUGA